CCCCUUCCCUGGACUUUGGUGCCAUCAGAGGGGACACAACACAAGCCCACCUGUCAGGAGCCCAGCUCCGGUCGUGCUACACGUUCUUAAGGACCAAGUUCAC